AAUAUAUGAUCUACUGCUUUUGCUUUCAUGUUUGAUUGCUUGGUUUGCCUUGAUCAGUCAGCUUGCGGUCAUGGUCCACGCCGCUCUGUGUAUGUGUGACUGUUUUGGUGCUGCUGGCUGGCAAUCGCUCUCUUUUAGUGCUCUGUGUUCCUCCCCUCUGCACUCAUACGUUUCCUUCCUUAUUUCCUUUUUCUCCAGAGUGCGGCUCCGCUGAUUGGCCGGUGUCAUCAUAUGACACGGCUGCUUCAGCGCUAAGGAGUGUGGGAAUUGUAGGCAUCUCAGCGACCAUGUGACCUCUGAGAUCCAAUCGCGAUGCACCCGCCUCCCCAACAGGCUAUAUAUAGCAUGAUAUGAUCAUUAUCUGUCUGCUACCAACAGGGUACUGACAGAUGUCUUUAUUCCUCUUAAAGAUAGGAGAUUAUCUGUGGACUUUUCAGCUGCAAUUGACUGGUCCUUGAUUUUUGCUGCAAACGACUAUCCUUUGACUUUCUAUCACCAGCUGAUGUUUGCUUGCAUUUAGACUGUUCAUCUAGUUAAAUACUCCAUAUGAAUUGAGGCUCUUCAGUGCCCAUGUUAUUGUCUUACUUAAUUCCCCUGUAUUCACCUUGAUUUUAUUACGCUUCAAGUCCUGUCAGUUGAACUUGGAUUUCAAUAUCCACCCUGAGGGGGUUUUUCCUUGACUGGCUGUGCAUGAAGCUAGGGUAGGUUUUAUUUCUCCUACCUAUGGAAUUUUGCUGCCAGCCCCCUCUCAUGGGCUGAACAGCAUUGGCUGCUACCAGGCUGUGGAUAUAUGCGCAUUUGCUCCUAUGAACUUUGGUUUCUCUUGCCCCGCCAGAGAUCCCAGCCAAACUUUUGUUUGUACUCUAUAUACAUGACAUGUUUUGUUGAACAUAUAUAAUCAAAGUUCUUUUAGAG